GACGAACGCUGGCGGCGUGCUUAACACAUGCAAGUCGAACGGAAAGGCCCCUUUGUGGGUACUCGAGCGUCGGACGGGGGAGUAACACGUGCGUAAGCUUCCCUUGACUUCGGGAUAACGUCAGGAUACUGGGGCUAAUACCGGUUAGGGAUCCUUUCUUCAUGGUGGUGGUUGGAAAGCUUCGGCGGUUUUGGAUGGACUGGCGGCUUAUCAGCUUGUUGGUGGGGUAGUGGCUUACCAAGGCUUCGACGGGUAGCCGGCCUGAGAGGGCGACCGGCCACAUUGGGACUGAGGUACGGCCCAGACUCCUACGGGGGGCAGCAGUGGGGAAUAUUGCACAAUGGGCGGAAGCCUGAUGCAGCAACGCCGCGUGCGGGAUGACGGCCUUCGGGUUGUAAACCGAUUUCAGCAGGGGCGAAGCUUGUGGUGACGGUACCUGCAGAAGAAGCACCGGCUAACUACGUG
rnacentral:rRNA from 1 species